rnacentral:rRNA from 1 species
GUGGGGAAUAUUGGGCAAUGGGGGAAACCCUGACCCAGCAACGCCGCGUGAAGGAAGAAGGUUUUCGGAUCGUAAACUUCUAUCCUUGGUGAAGAUAAUGACGGUAGCCAAGAAGGAAGCCCCGGCUAACUACGUGCCAGCAGCCGCGGUAAUACGUAGGGGGCAAGCGUUGUCCGGAAUGAUUGGGCGUAAAGGGCGCGUAGGCGGCCUGGUAAGUCUGGAGUGAAAGUCCUGCUUUUAAGGUGGGAAUUGCUUUGGAUACUGUCGGGCUUGAGUGCAGGAGAGGUAAGCGGAAUUCCCGGUGUAGCGGUGAAAUGCGUAGAGAUCGGGAGGAACACCAGUGGCGAAGGCGGCUUACUGGACUGUAACUGACGCUGAGGCGCGAAAGUGUGGGGAGCAAACAGGAUUAGAAACCCGGGUAGUCC